GGGACUGUGGCUUAGUGGUAGAAUGUUUGCCUAGCAUGCAUGAAGCCCUGGGUUCAAUUCCCCAGUACCA
rnacentral:tRNA from 1 species